rnacentral:lncRNA from 1 species
AAAGCCGGGACGAAAAUUCCUGCGGUACGCUCCUCACCGUGUCUGCAUUGAUGGUGGCGGCGACGCGAGUGAGCGCAAUAGUAUACAGUAUGAGACUCUACUCGCUAAGGACAAGCCUCUGCUGGUAUCAUCAAUGCCUUAACGCGAUUUAAUCGUGCUCGCCCUUGACACUACACUCAUGCUCGCCAGCUUUGCGUUUUUGCAGGGAUAUCGCGUGUAUCAAAGGAGAGCGAGAUGCUACUCUUCCAUUGCCACUGGGGAAGUAUUACACGAGAAGGUACGCUUGCUGCCACUUCGUAGAGUUUUUCCAUAGUCGCUUUCGUAGUGUUGUUUUGCUUGCUUGGUCGGGCUUAAAGUGAGAGAUCCAUUGCUUUGUCUUGAAGUCUCUGGCGCAGAGAGCUUUGCUCACCCCGGCUUUGACUGCAGUGCACACAAAGCUCCAUCCAGAUCUAACGCUUUUCUCAGAGACUUCACUUUUCCUCUCUGCAGCUUUCUUUCGCUCUUUCUGAAUCCGGCCCGUCGGUGCUGAAGCUUCACGUGACUUCCACUUCUCAUUCAUACGAAUGGAUCCUUUCUCGCGAUAACGGUAUGCGGUUGUCUCGGGUGUCUGCAAAGGCAAUGUUUUGAGAGUCCAGCGAAAUAGCAGGGAAAAAGGGAGAGG